GGGGAUUUAGCUCAGUGGUAGAGCACUUGCCUAGCAAGUGGAAGGCCCUGGGUUCGGUCCCCAGCUCCA
rnacentral:tRNA from 1 species